rnacentral:lncRNA from 13 species
GGGAUUUAGUCAAUCAUGCUCACAAAACUGACACUGUGGACAUGGGGAAAGAGAUUGGCUGUAGUGCAUAAGUUUUGUCUAAACAACAUUGAAUGUUAAUAAACCAUCAUCACCACCACCACCAUCAUAAUCACCAUGAUCAUCCUCAUCGUCAUGUUGAAACCAUACCAGGGAAGGGACAGCAUGAGAAAUGUUUUUAAAAUUGUUCAAAUCGUUUCCUUGUGAUAACACCAUAUUUCGCCAUAUGACACUCUGCAACCCCUCGCAUUGGAACUAGUGAAAGCAAUCACCAGUUUCAUCAACAUUUCACCAGAAUUACAAGUCACUCAAGAGACAUGCCCUUUGGUUGCGCAAGCAUAAUGACUUGUGUUAAUUAUAGUAUAAAAAAAUUGAGUUGUUGGGGAGAAGACAUUAACUUGACUCCUGAUCACACAGUCAGGCUCCAGCAUUUUGUUCUUGAAGGGACUGUCCCCAUGGCGACGAUGUUGACUGUCCUUAUCCUACUCAGCAUUGCCUUUGCAUACCUGUCCUUUUCAGGUAACAGGACCCUGGAACCACCAUCAUCUGGAACCGAGGAGCCGUCCUUCUCAGGUGACAGGACCCUGGAACCACCAUCAUCUGGAACCAAGGAGCCGUCCUUCUCAAGUAACAGGACCCUGGAACCACCAUCAUCUGGAACCAAGGAGCCGUCUUUCUCAGGUGACAGGACCCUGGAACCUCCAUCAUCUGGAACCGAGGAGCCGUCCUUCUCAGGUGACAGGACCCCGGAACCCCCAUCAUCUGGAACAGAGGAGCCGUCCUCCGGAGUGUGAGAAGAUCAUGAACAGCAACGGGAGAGUUGAUAAUAUUGAUUACCAUGAUGUUGACCAGGGUAUAUUUUUUUACAUGGAUAUUACAGUGCCAUUUCAGACACAGCCUGAGAGGGAAAAGUACAGCAAUUGUUUGUCAGAUUUAAUUAGCAUAAUUGUUAACUUUUCUGCUAUCCUGUCUGGUAACUUUCCAUAACUAAGUAGACAGUAAAGCCUUAUAUGCUGUAGUGUGUCUUUCACUGAAGCUUUCCUAUCCUCUAUGCUGACUGUCAUUAGCAGACCUGGGCUCAAACAAACUAUCAGAAAUCUUCCAAAUACUUUGAGUGUUUUAUCUAGCCUGUCUGAAGUGCUGGAUGGGCAGUGUUUGCAGUUUUGGGACAAUUGUAUUGGUCCAUUAUACCAUGCAGGCUCAUUCAAGCACAGAUUAAGUAUUUGGAAUGAUUUCAAAUAGUAUUUUAACCAGGUUUGGACAUAAGAAAAUAUUGCAUAACAUAUACAUGUAAGAUCCUGUUUUUGUUAUUUUAUCCCCCUCUAAUUUACACAGGGCAGGAGGCCUUCCAGGCUUCUGGUCUAUCAGAUGUCAAAGACCUCUGUAGUACCACUUCAUACAGAGUUUGACUCUUUCUAUCUUCUGUUUCAUCAUCUAAACCCUGUGUCCCACCAUAUAGUUGCUUUGGAGGCAUUCUGUCAUGGAAUAAAUCUAUAUGAUCAAGAUCAUCUUGUCCUAGUUGCAAGGUCCCUCCUGGGAAGGUGGGUGGGGUAAUUUUUUUUUCUCUUUUUUGCAAUUCUGUCACUAUUGUGAAAGUUGUUUUAGACUUAAAGCAUAUAGCCCAAUUGACAAGUACUGCAUGACUGUGCCACCAGUGGACGCUGCUAAGGGGAGGACGGCUCAUAAUAAUGGCUGGAAUGGAGUCAAUGGAAUGCUAUCAAACGUGGUUUCCAUGUGGUUGAUACCAUUCCAAUGACUCCAUUCCAGGCAUUACUAUGAGCCGUCCUCCCCACAGCAGCCUCCACUGUGUGCCACACAUUGUAAUUGAUUUACAGUAUGUUUGCCAAGGUUAUACAGUGUAAGAUUAAGUAGUGUAUGGUUCCAACUUGUAUAGAUCACGGUAACAUAUAAUGUACUAACAAUAUCAAUAUUAUGUUUGCGUUUUCUCUAGGCAAUGUUAAUGUACUGUACUUCUUCAUAUUGCACUCGGUGAACCAGAACUGUGUGUGUGCGUGUGUAUGCAUAUGUAUUGCUUGAUUAGGACAAGCAAUACAAACGCAAAAGUGUUUACUUCUCUUGAGACGAGUAUGAUGAAGAGGAAGAGAAAAAAAAGAGUUGUCGAGUUGCAUAAACGCCCAGGCUUUGGGGAAGUGUUGCUACUAUUAAAUGAAGAAGAGAUGAUUAAUGCAUAUGCUCAUUAUUUCCAUGUGAGGGGCUUCAUUAAUUAACCCCCACCCCCACCAGUGAGCGUGCUACUGCUGUUGGUGGGUGUUGGGUUACAGAUGGUAGGUUGAGCGAUGGUAAUCCAACACGCUAUUUGGAGCAAUGCGUCGGCGGGACUUGGCUCCCAGAGUUCCAGUUCUCAUAUAAGCUGUGAGUUUACACCGGAAAACCAAUAAAUACUUGCUAAAUAGACUCAAACUUCAUCAAAAUACUGCAGAGAAAAAUUGGUUUCACGUCCAAGUUGUUUGGGGGGGAGAGGAUGGAACCAGAAUAUACAGGAUACAGUACAGUUGCCUUCAAAAUAGAGCAGAAACUGUCCAGAGGACCAGAUGGCAUGCCCGCUAGUGUUGAGGGGUGUUUCUGUUUCUCUGGUGAGGAUGUGAUAUGAUACACUGAGGGACAGUUUCAGAGCUCUCUUAGAGACACAAAAAUAACCCAUUCCUCUUGGGUUUGUGGCAUCUGACAUCCAUGGCCAUUUAAAUUAAAUAUCCAUUGGGUACUGCUGUUUUCUAUUUUCUGCAGGUCUGCUUUAGCCAAGUUAUCCUCUACGUGACACAAAGGGUUGCCCCAUGAGGAGUAAGUCAGCAGAGGUCAGGCGAACAGUGGCUGUGUGCCUGUGAUCAGCUUUACCUAACACAAUUAAAUGACUCACUGCAGCUAUGGCCUGCAGCGCACUGGCUUC